CUCACAGAUAAAAGGGCCUGGACUCAGGAGACAGUUCCAGGCUUCAGAUCGGCACUGGAAACUGUGGGCCUGUUGGUGGAAGCGGGACCUCUUAUGAAGCCACAGAAAUUGCAUUGAAACAACUAUGAGCCAAUCAGAACAGACAAAUAGAGAGCACUCCACUGGACAGCCACAAAACAAACAUUCUUCUUAUGCGUGUGUGUGCACCAUUCUCCAGGAAGCUUCCUAUACCGGACCAGAAGGUACAUCUUACCUUUCAAACACAUUAACUACUUCCCAGCUACAAUGUGGAGCACUGGAAAUCAAUGACAAGGAGAAUUGAAAGAAAUAUCGA
rnacentral:lncRNA from 1 species